GAUGAACGCUGGCGGCGUGCUUAACACAUGCAAGUCGAACGAAGCACUUUUUCACGAUCCCUUCGGGGUGACGAAAUUGUGACUUAGUGGCGGACGGGUGAGUAACGCGUGAGUAACCUGCCUUACACAGGGGGAUAACAGUUAGAAAUGACUGCUAAUACCGCAUAAGCGCACAGGGCUGCAUGACCUGGUGUGAAAAGAUUUUUCGGUGUAAGAUGGACUCGCGUCUGAUUAGCUAGUUGGUGAGGUAACGGCCCACCAAGGCAACGAUCAGUAGCCGACUUGAGAGAGUGAUCGGCCACAUUGGGACUGAGACACGGCCCAAACUCCUACGGGAGGCAGCAGUGGGGAAUAUUGCACAAUGGAGGAAACUCUGAUGCAGCGACGCCGCGUGAGUGAUGAAGUAUUUCGGUAUGUAAAGCUCUAUCAGCAAGGAAGAUAAUGACGGUACUUGACUAAGAAGCUCCGGCUAAAUACGAGCCAGCCGCCGCAGUAA
rnacentral:rRNA from 1 species